GUUAUUUUGGAGUUUAGUUCCAUGAAGUGCCACAUGAGUCAAGGCUGGGGCUCACCCAGAAAAGAUCAUGAGGCACUUUGAGUUGUUUUCCUAUUGGACACAACAAAAUCCAAGCAAACCAGCAAAUACAUAUUGUUGGAAAACAAUGCUGCUUUCUCAAACUCAUGCCGACUCUAAUGUGUUUCUUAUGGACUCAGAGCCUGUUGUCAUCUGUUUAGCAGUCAUAUUUAAAUAAUAAUUGGAGUAAUCUUAUUCUUACGACAAUUAAGCACCUCCUUUUCCCAAGUGUUACUCUUAUGUAAGUUUUAUUGCUAAUGCUGGCUCUCUAUCUCAGUGGGCUUGCAGCAGAGCAGAUGGGUGAUGAAUAGUUCUUUGAUGGUAAAUGAAUCAAAACUACCAAACAUUGAAUUAGCCAUGAUUGUUUGCCACUGAUCUAAAAAUUUUUAUUUAGUGCACUGUCCAUUUCACUCUGAAGUAUUAAGCCAGUAAGACCAAUAUACCAGAAUUACACUUGUUCACUUUAAUACAUUUAUUAUAUUGCCUCCUUUGUGGGACUACCAGACCCUUAAGGGCAACUCUCAAUCUCUUAUCUGUCCUCAAUAAUCUACCUAAAACAUCACAAAUUUUGUAACAAUUUUUAACAAUUGUUGGAAUUUAUCUGAGGAAACAUAAUCAACUUUUGCAUGAUCUAUUACAUUCUUGCUACUAAGUGUUAACCUUUUUGUCAGUAAUCAUAAUUUUAGAAUAUACCUUCAAAUUCAAACAAGCCAUCAAUCAAAUUUUGGGGUCACAAAAUCUGGUCCUAAUUUGUGAUUCAAGUGAUCUUACAAAACUGAAGGGAAGUCAUGAAUGGAGAAAUAUCACAAUGAUUGAUGAGUCU
rnacentral:lncRNA from 1 species